UACGUAGGGGGCAAGCGUUGUCCGGAUUUAUUGGGCGUAAAGAGCGUGUAGGCGGCCUGAAAGGUCAGCUGUGAAAACUCGAGGCUCAACCUCGAGACGUCGGUUGAAACCAUCUGGCUAGAGUCCGGAAGAGGAGUCUGGAAUUCCCGGUGUAACGGUGGAAUGUGUAGAUAUCGGGAAGAACACCAAUGGCGAAGGCAGGUCUCUGGGCCGUUACGUGACGCUGAGGAGCGAAAGCGUGGGGAGCGAACAGG
rnacentral:rRNA from 1 species